AUAAAAAAUCCCUCCAGUUACUCCUGGAAAUGAAGUGCCCUUUCUAUAAUUCUAUCUUGUACCAUUUUCCCCUCUAGGGCUACUUCUGGGCAUCCUGUGAGUCAAGAUGCUGAGACAUACAGUUUCACUUAUUUUUGACAUCCUGAAGGCAACUGGAUGUUUCAAGUUCAGAUGAUGAGAAAGGUCUCCAUAAAGGGCCAGCAGCAUGAAGUAGAAACUGAGUGUCUGCACAUGAUACAUACAGCAUCAGGCUGAAGCUGAGACACUGGGAAGGGUGAAAUGGAAGAAAAGAAAGAAGAAAAGAGACCAAGAGGACUGCUGGACACUCGGUGAAAGGGCUCUAUAAUGUGGGAAAGGUGGUACCAGGGAAUGAUUGCACCAAACUCUGGACUCAAGUGCAUUCCUGGUCUUUCUAAGAGAUGGUCUGAGCUUGUACACUUUUUUUUUUUAUUUGCAAAAGUUUCUAGCCGUACUGACAAAAUCACUUAAAAUAUCUGUCAACAUUUUGAUCUAGAGUUCUAGUCAAAUGCCAUCCUUCCACAUUCACUAUUCUUCUGCAGAUACUGUUAUUAAUAUGCUGUUUUUGAACUUCUGUGCACUGAAGAUUUUUAUUGAAAUCUAGGUCAUCUGAAAUGAAUUCCUCCAAAUAUCUUACUGUCUACUCAAAGUUUUUUUUUUACAUCCUUACCCACUCCCUGUUGUUGUUGUUUUUUUUUUUUUUUCACAGUAGCCUCUCCAUCAGCAUUCUCUAAGUCACCAUCACCUCACUAUUCCCACCACGCAUAUUUUUUAAAAAUUAAUUUUUAAAUUUGAAUCCCCAAGACCGGCUUGGGUUUCUUAUAAGGUGGCUUUUUUUGUUGGGGCCGGGGGAGUGGGGGA
rnacentral:lncRNA from 1 species